rnacentral:tRNA from 4 species
GCCGGAGUAGCUCAGCCGGUUAGAGCACGCGUCUCAUAAGCGCGGGGUCGGCGGUUCGAGUCCGCCCUCCGGCACCA